UACUGGAAUCUUUUGGACAAUUUGGUUUUGAAUCCGAUCAUCUGUUCCACCUUUAACAUGUGCAAGUUUUGUUUCCGUAGCAACCACCAUCUGUACUUCCAGGCACCUGU